GGAGAGGUGCCUGAGUGGUUUAAAGGGAUAGUUUUGAAAACUAUUGUGGCCAUUUUGGCCACCGUGAGUUCGAAUCUCACCCUCUCCG
rnacentral:tRNA from 3 species